rnacentral:antisense_RNA from 1 species
CUUUAUGGCGGGCCGUGCGUGGGAGGGCUUCGGCCCUGCCGGGAUCCCUGACCCCGGUCGACCAACCUGCGUACGGUUCGCCUCCCUC